AUUAAAACACCAAUUCUCAUACAAUCACUGAAGUUAAGCAACAUUGAGCCUGGUCAGUAUCUAGAUGGGUGACUGCUUGGGAAUACCAGGUACUGUAA